rnacentral:rRNA from 1 species
CCCUUAGAUGUCCGGGGCCGCACGCGCGCUACACUGAAGGAAUCAGCGUGGCUUUCUCCCUGACCCGAAAGGGUUGGGAAACCCGUUGAAUCUCCUUCGUGAUAGGGAUUGGGGCUUGAAAUUGUUCCCCAUGAACGAGGAAUUCCCAGUAAGCGCGAGUCAUAAGCUCGCGUUGAUUACGUCCCUGCCCUUUGUACACACCGCCCGUCGCUACUACCGAUUGAACGGUUUAGUGACGGCCUCGGAUUGGUCUCGGCCCGCUCUUUACCGGGCGGCGCCGUUGGUCGAGAAGACGCUCGAACUUGAUCGUUUAGAGGAAGUAAAAGUCGUAACA